GAUGAACGCUGGCGGCGUGCCUAAUACAUGCAAGUCGAGCGAAUGGAUUGAGAGCUUGCUCUUAUGAAGUUAGCGGCGGACGGGUGAGUAACACGUGGGUAACCUGCCCAUAAGACUGGGAUAACUCCGGGAAACCGGGGCUAAUACCGGAUAACAUUUUGAACCGCAUGGUUCGAAAUUGAAAGGCGGCUUCGGCUGUCACUUAUGGAUGGACCCGCGUCGCAUUAGCUAGUUGGUGAGGUAACGGCUCACCAAGGCAACGAUGCGUAGCCGACCUGAGAGGGUGACCGGCCACACUGGGACUGAGACACGGCCCAGACUCCUACGGGAGGCAGCAGUAGGGAAUCUUCCGCAAUGGACGAAAGUCUGACGGAGCAACGCCGCGUGAGUGAUGAAGGCUUUCGGGUCGUAAAACUCUGUUGCUAGGGAAGAACAAGUGCUAGUUGAAUAAGCUGGCACCUUGACGGUACCUAACCAGAAAGCCACGGCUAACUACGUGCCAGCCGCCGCGGUAA
rnacentral:rRNA from 1 species